rnacentral:tRNA from 1 species
GCCAUCUUAGCUCAGCUGGUAGAGCAUCGGUUUUGUAAACCGCAGGUCGCGAGUUCGAGUCUCGCAGAUGGCUCCA